rnacentral:rRNA from 1 species
AUGAGAGUUUGAUCCUGGCUCAGAGUGAACGCUGGCGGCACGCUUAACACAUGCAAGUCGAACGGAUGAAUUUGGUUCGCCAAAUUCGUUAGUGGCAGACGGGUGAGUAAUACAUGGGAAUCUGCCUUGUAGAGUGGGAUAACUGUUGGAAACGACAGCUAAUACCACAUAUUGCCGAGAGGUGAAAGAUUUUUCGCUACAAGAUGAGCCCAUGCAGGAUUAGCUAGUUGGUAGGGUAAUGGCCUACCAAGGCUGUGAUCUUUAGUUGGUCUGAGAGGAUGAUCAGCCACACUGGAACUGAGACACGGUCCAGACUCCUACGGGAGGCAGCAGUGGGGAAUAUUAGACAAUGGGCGCAAGCCUGAUCUAGCGAUGCCGCGUGAGUGAAGAAGGCCUUAGGGUCGUAAAGCUCUUUUAGUAGGGAAGAUAAUGACGGUACCUACAGAAAAAGUCCCGGCUAACUUCGUGCCAGCAGCCGCGGUAAUACGAAGGGGGCUAGCGUUACUCGGAAUUACUGGGCGUAAAGCGUGCGUAGGCUGUUUUGUAAGUUGAUGGUUAAAUUCUUGGGCUCAACCCAAGGCCUGCUAUCAAAACUGCAAAACUAGAGUGCCAAAGAAGAUAGUGGAAUUCCUAGUGUAGAGGUGAAAUUCGUAGAUAUUAGGAGGAACACCAGAAGCGAAAGCGGCUAUCUAGUUGGAUACUGACGCUGUUGCACGAAGGCGUGGGGAGCAAACAGGAUUAGAUACCCUGGUAGUCCACGCAGUAAACGAUGAGUGCUAGGUGUCGGGACCGAGGUUUCGGCGUCGUAGCUAACGCGUUAAGCACUCCGCCUGGGGAGUACGGUCGCAAGAUUAAAACUCAAAGGAAUUGACGGGGACCCGCACAAGCGGUGGAACAUGUGGUUUAAUUCGAUGUCACGCGAAAAACCUUACCAAGUCUUGACAUGAUGGUCGUAUAUUUAGGAAACUGAAUAGUCAGUUCGGCUGGACCAUCACAGGUGUUGCAUGGCUGUCGUCAGCUCGUGUCGUGAGAUGUUGGGUUAAGUCCCGCAACGAGCGCAACCCUCGCUCUUAGUUACAAACAGUUCGGCUGUGGACUCUAAGGGGACUGCUAGUGAAAACUAGAGGAAGGUGGGGACGAUGUCAAGUCAGCAUGGCCCUUAUGACUUGGGCUACACACGUGUUACAAUGGUGAUUACAAUGGGCGGCAAUAGGGUAACCUAAAGCGAAUCCUCAAAAAUCAUCUCAGUUCGGAUUGCACUCUGCAACUCGAGUGCAUGAAGUCGGAAUCGCUAGUAAUCGCAGAUCAGAACGCUGCGGUGAAUACGUUCCCGGGUCUUGUACACACUGCCCGUCACGCCAUGGGAGUUGGUCUUGCCUUAAGUACAUGCGCUAACCGUAAGGGGGCAGUGUACCACGGUGAGGUCGAUGACUGGGGUGAAGUCGUAACAAGGUAGCCGUAGGGGAACCUGCGGCUGGAUUACCUCCUU